rnacentral:sRNA from 1 species
UAAUAUUAUUGUCAAAUUCUAAUAAUUCCAAGGAAAGCAUUAUACUGAGAUUCAUAUUGCCUGCACAAUACCUCAAGUAAUUUCUACAAUGGAAAUUAUUACACCGAAGGAGCUUACAAGAAUCAAGCGUGCAAGAGUGAGGAAGGAAUUGACAAUGGUUCUACGUUUGUGCACCAAAGGAUAGGGAAAGGAAAGAGAAUCGACUCGGUGACCGACUGACGGUUCUUGAAGAAGAAACUGAAACUAUGAAGCACGAAAUUUUGGAUAUUGCAGAAGAAAGAAACAAGUUGAUGAAGGAGAAAUGUCAGCAGGUUCAGAUUGAGUCUAUCGAUGGAAACACAAGUAUCUACCCUUCACAGAACUCAUAUGCUGAAGUGUUUGGCUGACUGAUUUCGAUGCAUUUGACGGAUAAACAGGAGGAAAGAAUAGGAGCUAGUUUGUCAGAUAUUUUACGCCAAGAUAUACAUCCAUCUCUUGUCAACAGAAAUCUUAGAUGCGUCUAUAAACUAGAUGGAUGAUUCCAUCAAUAUGUAAUCCCAGAAGGUAUUUGUAACCACCGUGUUCGCAUGUCCUUUCUAUUAUUAUAGACAACCAUUCUGUUCUUUUCUUGGCUAGAUAUUCACUGUUA